UGUGUCAGAGCGAAAUCAAAACAAACAAAAAUACUUCGCAAAUCAGUUCAUUUUGGUUUCGCAAAUUAAUUUGCAAAUUGCAACACUUUUCAAAUCUAGCUUCUUUAAAUAUGUAAUAGCAAUUGUAAUAGUUCGGAGCGGUGUUUCUUUCGUUCCUGUGUUAGUACCAGUCGCUGUCAAAACACCUUUGGAAAGAACUGACAAGCAACCAUCCCAGGCUGGUGGAUAGAGUCAAAGUCAACGGAAACGGUGAUGUGGCAGUUUUGGGAUGAAUAACGGACCAGGCAAAAUUCAAUCAACAAAGUUCCAACCAACAUUCCGCGGGACCCUGUAUACAUCAAGGAAGGCAAUACCAGUUCCGCCAUGGGAUGAAUUAUUAAAUAUAGGAAUGUCAACGGAAGGAAAUCGACAAAUAAUGUGGAUUGCAAUUGCAAGAAGAAACGAGAUUAGAUAAAGAGAUGGCGAGCUGCAGUAUAGUAGAGUGGGGCAAGAGUACGCACUUAGUUUUCAAUCGAUCAUGUGGCCCUUAUGAAGCAAGCUUCUGCAUAUCAAAUCAGUGUCGAUGAUUCAUAUACUCUUCCUUUAUGUUAUCCAGUGGAAAAAAUAUUGAAAUUAUUGAGAUUCGUUUUAGUAGAAACCUUAUUGCAAGCCAAGUGAAAAACGCACACUGACAAAAAUCCAAUCAUAUCCAUUAUGUGUGGCACACAUAAAUUUUGACUAUAGCAUUUCCCAUAUAACGGCUAUGUGAAUUCGCAUAGCAUGUAUGUGGAAACACACAUAACCGUUAUUAACUAAUAACCUUUAUGUGGAUUCAUCUAUAGCGGGUGGUUAUUAACGCACACAUAAAAUUUAUUUGUAAAUUUCUUUAGAUUUUUGCCAUUAAAAAUGUGUGGAUUUUUAUUAGUGCACUCUUACCCCACCGGUGGGGUAAA